rnacentral:rRNA from 1 species
GAUGAACGCCGGCGGUGUGCCUAAUACAUGCAAGUCGUACGCACUGGCCCAACUGAUUGAUGGUGCUUGCACCUGAUUGACGAUGGAUCACCAGUGAGUGGCGGACGGGUGAGUAACACGUAGGUAACCUGCCCCGGAGCGGGGGAUAACAUUUGGAAACAGAUGCUAAUACCGCAUAACAACAAAAGCCGCAUGGUUUUUGUUUGAAAGAUGGCUUUGGCUAUCACUCUGGGAUGGACCUGCGGUGCAUUAGCUAGUUGGUAAGGUAACGGCUUACCAAGGCGAUGAUGCAUAGCCGAGUUGAGAGACUGAUCGGCCACAAUGGAACUGAGACACGGUCCAUACUCCUACGGGAGGCAGCAGUAGGGAAUCUUCCACAAUGGGCGCAAGCCUGAUGGAGCAACACCGCGUGAGUGAAGAAGGGUUUCGGCUCGUAAAGCUCUGUUGUUGGAGAAGAACGUGCGUGAGAGUAACUGUUCACGCAGUGACGGUAUCCAACCAGAAAGUCACGGCUAACUAC